UCGGUGCUCGGGCCCUAAUAAUAAUAAUCAUUUCAAUUUCAAUAGGGCCUCCCACCGAUUUCGGUGCUCGGGCCCUAAUAAUAAAAAUCCUUACAAAUUCAAUAGGGCCUCUCACCAUUCGGUGCUCGGGCCCUAAUAAAAUUUAAACCCAUAUUAUCUGUUGAUAUUAUUAUUAAAUUCUUUUAAAACCCUAGCUCCACUGAUAUUGACCAUAUUGUUGACAGCUCUGUUAAGUCAUUACGAUUAACAUUAAACUCAAUAGUGCCUCAAAAAACAAAAUUGUAAAACAUUGUAAAUUAGCUCCCUGGUAUAAUUCCAACACACAUGAAUUAAAACAAGAAUAAAAAAAACCAGAAGGAAGUGACGCUCCAGCAAACGUGUUGAAUAUCUCUUAGCCUGGAAGAAUAAUAUUAAAGCAUUUAAGAAAGCCCUCCGCAAAGCAAGAGCUGCCUACCACACAUUAAUAGAAGAAAAUAAAAACAAUCCCAGGUUUCUCUUCAGCACUGUAGCCAGGCUCACAGAGAGUCACAUCUCCACCGAACCCAGUACUCUUCGAUCCCUGAAUAGCAAUUUCUUUAUGAUCUUCCUUAAUGAUACAAUUCUAACUGUUAAAAAUAAAAUCCACCAUCUCCUGCCCUCAAUUUGCACAAAUACACGAUCAAGAACAGAAAUCUCAGGAGCUGCUUAGAAUGUAACAAUUAUUUAGACAGCUCUCCCUGAUCACCAUUGAUCAGCUGACAAAAAUAAUCUCAUGUUCUAAACCAACAACCUGUAUCUUAGAUCCCAUUCCCACAAAAUUACUUAAAGAAAUUCUGCCCCUAAUUGAUAGUACGUUACUGAACACAAUCAAUCUAUCAUUAUCGUCAGGAUAUGUACCAGAGUCCUUUAAAAUAUCUGUAUUCAAACCCCUUCUCAAACACCCAGUUAUACUUGUCAAUAAAACCUGAACAAUGUAAUCAGUUAACUAAACUCUUUUAAUGUCUCAAGGACAUAAAAAUAAUACUUGGCCCUAAACACCUACAUAGAUACAUUAUCUAAUGAUAUAUCUGCACUAGACGAGAUUGCCCUUGCUUCCAAUGAUACAGUCAGGAACUUGGGAGUGAUAUUCGAUCUGAUUUGUCCUUGAAUUCUCACCUAAAACAAAUUUCUAGGACUGCCUUCUUCAACUUGCGUAAUAUCAAAAAAAUCAAAAAUCUAAAUCAAAAAAUGUCCUUUUUUCAAAAAGAUGCAGAAAAACUAGUCCACACCUUUGUUACAUCCAGACUUGAUUAUUGUAAUUCAUUAUUUUCAGGCUCCAGCAGUAAGUUGUUAAAGACUCUGCAGCUUGUCCAAAUCCUCCUCACAUUCAAGGCCCUUAAUACAGUUUUUCACAAUUGUUAACACACGUUUUUCAAAACAAUAACGGCUUUCUCAAAACUGCACACACAAAACUGAAAACCUCACACACAAAAUGCUAAACCUGACACUCCCUUUGCAAGAUGACUCUUUACUAUCAAAACUCUUACCUGUUCACAAAAUGGAACUCGUGUUUUCAUUUGGUACACACAGUCAUAUUUUAAAAUGACACACACAUACCAUUCAUUGAGAACACACAACUAAGCAUUUGCUUGCACACUACCAAGUAUUUACAACACACUGCAGUGCAAAACUGAAAACACAAACAUCAAAAUGGAACACACCAUAUGAAUGACAGUGACUCUGGAGAAUGAGCCAUUUCUCCUUUUGUAAAAUGUCUCAGUGUAGGCCCACUUUUUUCAUAGUCAAACAUAAAACAGCACACAAAUAUGCAGCAAAAAAAGGUUUAUUUCGGUACACACAGAACAGUACUGUACUGUAAACCGGCCUGUUCAACCCCCCCCCCCCCCUUCACAAAAAUUACAGCAUUUCACAAUUGUUAACACACGUUUUUCAAAACAAUAACAGCUUUCUCAGAACUGCACACAGAAAACUAAAAACCUCACACACAAAUUGCUGACAGGUCUCGACAAUCACGUCGCCAGAGGCCUCCUCCAUAGCCUGGAGCAGUGGGACCCGGUCCUGUGGGUUCCGUUCAUAUUCCUUCCACCUCCAAGCUGAAAAUAAUUCCUCAAUAGGAUUCAGGAAAGGAGAAUAAGGUGGAAGGUAUAGAACGAAAAAAUGUGGGUGGUCCUGGAACCACUCCUGCACUUGAGCAGCCCGGUGGAAGCUCACAUUGUCCCUGAUGACAACGUGAUCGAGCCGCUGUGGGUCUAUCUGGCCAGGUGGUACCAGCAGGUCAUGCAGGCCAUCCAGGAAGACGAGGAGACGGGCAGCGUUAUAGGCCCCUCGGUGGGCAUGGCGGUGCAAGAUCCCAUGGUGAUUCAUUGCAGCACACAGUGUAAUGUUCCCGGGACACGCUGGCCGGGGACCUCCACAAUGGCCCCACUGGCCAAUGACGUUUCUGCCCCGUCGCCUCCUCUUCACCAGGUUGAAUCCCACCUCAUCAAUAAAGAUGUACUGGUACAACACAUGAGCUGUGUGAGGCUUUCUACCUCAAUAUUUUUUAUUUUAUUUUAUUCUAUUGUAUUGUAUUUUAUUGUAUUCAAAUGUACUGGCUGCUAUGACGACUUUAUAAUAAAUAAAGUAAUCUAUCUAUCUAUCUAUCUAUCUAUCUAUCUAUCUAUCUAUCUAUCUAUCUAUCUAUCUAUCUAUCUAUCUAUCUAUCUAUCCAUCUCCUGGAUCCGCUGACACAGACAGCAUGAGAAUGCAAGUUACAGUAUGGACACAGAGAGGUCAACACAGUGGGCUACAGUGAGACACUGUAGAAAAGGAACAAUAUUUGAUUACAGGUACAAUACAUGCAUGUGUCAGUGCUGAAUGUUGGUACUUACAAGCACAAACUCUCACUGUAACUCCUUGAUGCCUGUGUUACGUUCAAAUGGGACCCUGAACACUUGUUUCAUCCGCAUGGCAGUCCUAUGAAGAAUACACUCCAAUGUAGAGAGGCUGACGGUCUGGACGUUUCUAAACGUAGCAUGGUCAGCCAGGAUCCUAGUUUUCAUUUGUCUGAGUGUGAUAGAGUUGUUCUCACGAACCAUAUCUACAAUUUCUGUCUCCUGUUCGGCUGUGUAAAUGCGGUGAAAUUAUUCAACAGACCUGAAUGUUUAGAGAUUUGAGUAUUUGUGUGUUGUAGGUUGAUGCUUUGAGAUUUUACUUGAGAAGUGUGUGCAACAACUGAACAUUGUGUGUAGUGUUUUGACAACAAUGUGAUGUGUAAUUGACAGAGUGUAAAGAAUGAAAGUCAGAGUCUAAUGCAGAUAAGGGAGUGUGAAGUAGUGCCAAAUUGGGUCGAGUGAUUGGUACAUGAAGUGAAGGUUGUGCAAAUUGUGCCGAAUUUUCGCUUUUUGUGUGUUAACAAUUGUGAAAAACUGUAAUAUGGCACCAUUAUACCUCAAAGAGCUCAUGGUACCUUAUCAGCCCACUAGAGCACUGCGCUCCCAGAAUUCAGGCUUACUUGGUGUCCCUGAAGUCUCUAAAAUACAAUUUGAUGGAUUGAUGGAUGAUUGUGUGGGGUUUGUGUUUGGUGUUGUGUUGUUUUGCUGUGUCUCCUCCUUCCCUUCUGUUUUCUCCCUGUGUGUUGUGUGUGGCAGGGGGCGUGGCUGGCUCGUGGCUGCAGCAGGACGAGGCACACCUGCUCCCAUUCCAUCUAAUCAACCCCUCCAUAAAAGCCUGGUGUACUCACCACUUCAGUGCCAGAUUAUUCCAUCUACUAUGAUCCUCAUGUGCCUCUCCGCUCGGCUCCUCAUCCUCUUCUCAACCAGGAUCUCCAAGCCAACCAGCACCCUGCCGCUCCAGCCUUCAUCUACCUCUCCUGCAAAUAAACUCUGUUCAUUAACCCACCAACAA